rnacentral:rRNA from 1 species
AACGAACGCUGGCGGCAGGCCGAACACAUGCAAGUCGAACGCCCCGCAAGGGGAGUGGCAGACGGGUGAGUAACGCGUGGGAACCUACCCAGUGGUACGGAACAACCCAGGGAAACUUGGGCUAAUACCGUAUACGCCCCUAGGGGGAAAGAUUUAUCGCCAUUGGACGGGCCCGCGUUGGAUUAGCUAGUUGGUGGGGUAAUGGCCUACCAAGGCAACGAUCCAUAGCUGGUCUGAGAGGAUGAUCAGCCACACUGGGACUGAGACACGGCCCAGACUCCUACGGGAGGCAGCAGUGGGGAAUCUUGGACAAUGGGCGCAAGCCUGAUCCAGCCAUGCCGCGUGAGUGAAGAAGGCCCUAGGGUUGUAAAGCUCUUUCGGCGGGGACGAUAAUGACGGUACCCGCAGAAGAAGCCCCGGCUAACUCCGUGCCAGCAGCCGCCGUAACAC